UACGAAGGGGGCUAGCGUUGCUCGGAAUUACUGGGCGUAAAGCGCACGUAGGCGGCUUGUUAAGUCGGGGGUGAAAUCCUGGAGCUCAACUCCAGAACUGCCUUCGAUACUGGCGAGCUCGAGUUCGGGAGGGGUGAGUGGAACUGCGAGUGUAGAGGUGAAAUUCGUAGAUAUUCGCAAGAACACCAGUGGCGAAGGCGGCUCACUGGCCCGAUACUGACGCUGAGGUGCGAAAGCGUGGGGAGCAAACAGG
rnacentral:rRNA from 1 species